AGUAAGGGCACUUUCCAAGAUCACCGAGCAAAUCUGCAAGCUGAAGUAGGUUAGCCCAAGUUUCUACCGCUGAAGACUCAGUCUGUUCGUCCUGUCUAUCCCCAGGAAGGAUGCCGUGGUUACUGAGAAGUAUCGAAUAGCAGUGCCUGUCCUCAAAAAGAUUAUGAUAUAAUUGGGGCAAAAUACAUAAAAAGAUACACAAGCACUUACCAUUGUGUCACAGUUGCCUACAGUACUUAGCACAGUAGCAUGCCGUGUGGCUCGUGGCCCAGGAGCAGUAGGCUACACCACAGAGCCUAGAAGCGCAGUACGCCAGACGCUCUGAUGUUCGCGCAACGACGAAAUCU